CCUACGGGUGGCAGCAGUGGGGAAUAUUGGACAAUGGGGGGAACCCUGAUCCAGCCAUGCCGCGUGUGUGAAGAAGGCCCUCGGGUUGUAAAGCACUUUCAGUGGGGAAGAACGCCUGGUGGUUAAUACCCAUCAGGAAAGACAUCACUCACAGAAGAAGCACCGGCUAACUCCGUGCCAGCAGCCGCGGUAAUACGGAGGGUGCGAGCGUUAAUCGGAAUUACUGGGCGUAAAGCGCGCGUAGGUGGCUUGAUAAGCCGGUUGUGAAAGCCCCGGGCUCAACCUGGGAACGGCAUCCGGAACUGUCAAGCUAGAGUGCAGGAGAGGAAGGUAGAAUUCCCGGUGUAGCGGUGAAAUGCGUAGAGAUCGGGAGGAAUACCAGUGGCGAAGGCGGCCUUCUGGACUGACACUGACACUGAGGUGCGAAAGCGUGGGUAGCAAACAGGAUUAGAUACCCUAGUAGUC
rnacentral:rRNA from 1 species